rnacentral:rRNA from 1 species
AACGCGAAGAACCUUACCAAGUCUUGACAUCCCCCUGACCGGSCCGUAACGGGGCUUUUCCUUCGGGACAGGGGAGACAGGUGGUGCAUGGUUGUCGUCAGCUCGUGUCGUGAGAUGUUGGGUUAAGUCCCGCAACGAGCGCAACCCCUAUCCCCAGUAGCCAGCAGGUGAAGCUGGGCACUCUGAGGAGACUGCCAGGGAUAACCUGGAGGAAGGCGGGGAUGACGUCAAAUCAUCAUGCCCCUUAUGAUUUGGGCUACACACGUGCUACAAUGGCGUAAACAAAGGGAAGCGAGAGGGUGACCUGGAGCAAAUCCCAAAAAUAACGUCCCAGUUCGGACUGUAGUCUGCAACCCGACUACACGAAGCUGGAAUCGCUAGUAAUCGCGGAUCAGAAUGCCGCGGUGAAUACGUUCCCGGGUCUUGUACACACCG